CUCUGUAAAAGACUCCCCCAUCCAUUCUCUUUCCUGUGAAUCUCCCAGUGAUGCCUCGGACUCCUCAAUCCCUCAGUCAGAGGAAGGGAAUCCAGACGAACCACACCUUCAACCCAAACUCUCCGUGAAUGGACACAGAGCGGCGGAAAACGGUCAGGAGUGUUGACUUAAACACACUGGCCUCCCGGACCGAGAACCUUUGCUCCUUGCUCCGCUUUAUGAACGCCUCUGUAUUUCCUCUGAAACUCCACGCCACCCCUUUGCCUUCCGAAGGUGAAACAUGGGCUUGUGCGGAGCCCUUUCAGGAAAGAAGGGGCGCUCAGGAGGGGUGUGUGAGAGCAAUUAAACCCGCAUUGUGAGCGCGACAGCUUCCAACGGAAGGAGCUGGUUAUUAACCACUCAAAACCUGAAAUGCCAGGUGUCGAGUAUAGGAAUCCAGGCUAAAUAAAGCUGUGCUGCAUCCCGGUUCCUCCACAGAGAAGACAGGAAAUUUCCACGGUGCCUGGCUACCAGGCAGAGUGUCCGAUUGCAUUUAGCGACUGUCAUCUCACCCUGGACACGUGUAGGAUGGCAAGGGACUCUCUCAGCCGUGUGUGUCCUUUCCACUGCUUCCUGCUGACACCGUCCCCAACAGAAACAUGCAAUCUGUGCAGCCUAAAGAGCCGCCCGCCCUCCCGAGCCUUCGCGGAGAAUAAUAACAGCAGCUGCAUGACUUUUGCUUAAUGUAAAUACUUUAUUGACUUUUGUAUUUAAUUUAUGCAUCUGUCCAGUGUUUGCACAGCUGUUUGAUGUCUGUGUGAACCCAUAGGUUAGCCUUUGUUGAUUUGAUCUAUCUUAAACUCUAAGCAUUGAGAGAUGAGGGGGCUCCCAGUUCACUUUCCUUUGCCCAGCUUCCGACAUGGUAGUAUAUAGAUGAGAACUUGAGAGUUAGCCAUCUCCUUUAAGAUCACUUUGCUCCUGGUGGCCGGUUUGCUCAAUGGUUAGAGUGUCGGCCGGCGAACUGAAGGGUCCUGGGUUCGAUUCUUGGUGAAGGGCAUGUACUUCGGUGGAAGGUUCUCCAGCCUCGAUAGGGGCAUGUGUGGGAGGCAACCAAUUGAUGUCUCUCUCUCACAUCAAUGUUUCUCUUUCUCUCUCCCCUUCCCGCCUCCCUCCUUCCCACUCUCUCUAGAAAUCAAUGAAAAAAUAUCCUUGGGUGAGGAUUUAAAAAAAAAAAAAAGAUAUUUUUCUCCCUUGGUGAAGAAAAGGGCCCGAUUUUCUGAUCUGCUUAGGGAAAGUGUGAUGGUUGACUUUGUUUCCCUCUUACAAGGACACCAUUAUAGAAUCAAGGUGAUGUCGAGGAGGUUUUGUCUCUCCCAGAAAACUGCACCAGAGGAUUUGGCGAGGGGCAGGAUAUGAGACCUAGCAUGGAAAUAGUGCUAGUUAAGUAUGGAAUGGGGUUGGGAUGGAAAAAUCGCUCUCUUAUGGAGACUUACUUGCCCAUCAAAAAAACUGAGAAAGGACUGGGUAUGAGAAAUGCCAAUGGUUUGGCUAAUACCAGACCUUAGCUUGAGUCACAGCACCUGAACGUGUAUUUGUUUCUGAUGCUGUCUUCCUGGGGGUGUGGGAAAAGCCAACUGCACUGGGUUCAGUUCCUGGAGGCAGUGGUGGGAUGCAAAGGCAAGCAGCCCCAGUCUUCCCCCCUCCAGCAGAGAAGGGGAGGAAAGAGAGUGGAGAGGGGAUUUUAUGUUUGGUUGGGCUUUCUCCUGCAAUGUACAGAUAACAUCAUCUUUUAAAAAAAUAUUUUUUUAUUGAUUUCAGAGAGGAAGGGAGAGGUAGAGAGAGAUAGAAACAUCAAUGAUGAGAGAGAAUCAUAGAUCGGCUGCCUCCUGCACACCCCACACUGGGGAUCGAGCCUGCAACCUGGGCAUGUGCCCUGACCGGGAAUAGAACCGUGACCUCCUGGUUCGUAGAUUAACACUCAACCACUGACCCAUGCUGCUGGGCCAAAUAACAUUAUUCUUAAAUAACAUUUUUGUCCAGUUGUGUGUGACCUGGCCGUCAACAAAAUUUAUUAAAAAAUAGAUAAUAAAGACCAAGGACAGGUUGAAUUUUACUCAGAAUUUGAAUCUCUCUGUGCCUCAGUUUCUCUCAGUAGUGCCUUAAUCUUGUGGAUAAAGCCUAAGGUUGACUUUUGAAAGGCGCUCCCUCCACAGAGCAUGAAAAACUGUGAGGUACCUAAACUACAACUUUCUAUCAAAUUAGGUGCUUUUUUAAAAAAAAUUUAUUGAUUUUUUUUAGAGAGAGGAAGGGAGAGAGAGAAAUAAUAAUGUGAGAAACAUCAGUUGGUUGCCUACCACAUACAUCCCGACCAGGGAUCAAACCUGCAACCUGGGCACAUUUCCUGACCAGGAAUUGAACCCACCACUGCCUGGUGUACCAGAUGAUGCUCUAGCCUACUGAGCCACACUGGCCAGGCCAAGUCCUCUUUAACAAAGUAGUCUGUUACCAUGAGUAAGAUGUUUACUGUUGCUUUUUGGUUAAAAUCCUUCAAGAACUAAAGAGAAAUUCUUUGUAAAUUAGGUCAUGACUCAGGAAAGAACUGAACUAGUAAGUUUGUGUCUGUUAUCAGCUCUGCUUAAGACUGGCCUUUUAUAUCACUCUGAGGAGUAGUAAUACUGUUUGUUUUCAGCUGUUUGUUUUACAUAAGAGAAAAAAUUGAGUGGGGAACAGGGAAAUCAUAUUUUGAUAGAGUAGUUUUAUUGUUUUUCUGAUAUAUUAUGGCCCCCUCACCCCCAGUAUUCCCAGGGAUCAUUCCCACUUAAAAGCUAAACACAAAACAACUUCCAAAGCCAAGUAUAAGUAAUGGAUUUUUAAAACAUAAUAAAAUGGCAUAUUGAAUUAUCAACUACAGUUCUUCUCAAGUUGCCCAGGAAACCUAGCAUCUACUGCACUAAGUUUCAGUAACAUAGGUACAUUCUCAGCCCAGCCCGUAACAGGAAAACACAGAUGUCUUAGAGCCUCUGAGAUGCACUAAAUUCUGGAAACGGGAAGCCAUAAAAGAUGGAAUUGUGGGAGGGGAAUGGCCGGCAGCACCCUGGGAAAGCAGCAGCCUGGGGAGGAAUGACCUCUCUUUGAUCUCUCGCUUUCCCAAGUCACUUUCCCAUGCACUUCCUCACACUGGUUUCAGUUCUUUAGAUCUAAUAAAAGGCUUUGGGGCUGGGAGCAUCACCAAGCAGCUGAGCAGAGUGCUGAUUCAGGCAGAGC